rnacentral:rRNA from 1 species
CACGUAGGGACCAAGCGUUGUCCGGAUUUAUUGGGCGUAAAGAGCUCGUAGGCGGUUUGGUAAGUCGGGUGUGAAACCUCCAGGCUCAACCUGGUGACGCCACCCGAUACUGCCAUGACUUGAGUUCGGUAGGGGAGCGGGGAAUUCCUGGUGUAGCGGUGAGAUGCGCAGAUAUCAGGAGGAACACCAGCGGCGAAGGCGGCGCUCUGGGCCGGAACUGACGCUGAGGAGCGAAAGCGUGGGUAGCAAACAGG